AAGACUGAGGAUAGACCUCAAAUUAUCUGAGGGGAAGGUGUCAAGAGGAUGAACCUGGUCUCUUUUCAGUUGAGCCCAGCUACAGGAUGAGAGGCAAUGGGCAUAAACUGAAGCACAGGAGGUUCUGGCUGAAUAUAAGAGGGCACUUCUUUACUGCGAGGGUGACGGAGCACUGGCACAGGUUGCCCAAAGAGGUUGUGGAGUCUCCUUCUCUGGAGAUAGUCAAAACCCACCCGGAUGCCAUCCU